CCUACGGGUGGCAGCAGUGAGGAAUAUUGGUCAAUGGAGGCAACUCUGAACCAGCCACGUCGCGUGAAUGAUGAAGGUCCUCUGAUUGUACAGUUCUUUUCUAAGGGAAGAAGAAAGUGACGGUACCUUAGGAAUAAGCCUCGGCUAACUACGUGCCAGCAGCCGCGGUAAUACGUAGGAGGCGGGCGUUAUCCGGAAUGAAUGGGCGUAAAGGGUGCGUAGGUGGUUUGACAAGUUGGUAGCGUAACUCCGAGGCUCAACCUCGGCACUAACACCAAAACUGUCGGACUUGAGUGCAGGAGGAGCAAGUGGAAUGCCUAGUGUAGCGGUGGAAUGCGCAGAUAUUAGGAGGAACACCGGUGGCGAAGGCGAAUUGCUGGACUGUAACUGACACUGAGGCACGAAAGCGUGGGGAGCAAACAGGAUUAGAUACCCCAGUAGUC
rnacentral:rRNA from 1 species